CCGUACGGAAGGCAACCUUGGUGAACUCUAAAAAAGGAACAAAAACGGAUCUUUUACAUCAAAAUCCACAGCAAUCGAGAUCAGAAAAGUUUGUGUACUGGAAAUCCGAAAGAGAGGAAGUUGAGAUAAUAACCUUUGCGAUCGGGCUUGUGACAGCGCUUGACGAGGCGUACGCUGUCCUUGGCGAAAUCUCUCAGUGGAUCGAAGACGGUGUCGAUGGCGUCCAUUUUGAUCGUUUUCGGUUUCGUCAAAUUCAAUUGGGAUCUCAAGAUACGGUGAUGGGAUUUAGGUAUUUAACAGAUUAAUGGACGGCAAGGGGUUGACAAUUUUUAACUCAAAGCGUUGUUUGGCUCA
rnacentral:misc_RNA from 1 species